rnacentral:tRNA from 1 species
AGAGAGAUGGCAGAGUGGUCGAAUGCGGCGGUCUUGAAAACCGUUGACUGUCAAAGGUCCGGGGGUUCGAAUCCCUCUCUCUCUGCUA